ACCUGCUGUAGAAAGAUGAAUAAUUAAGCUGCAGACAGGAAACACAAGAUUUUAAUACUGAAUUGCUUCAGAGUCCUCUUUGGCUUCCUUUUUUGUUAUGUCUGUCUGCAGUGGCUUGACCAAAUGACGGAUCUUGGCAUUCCCUACCAGUUUGUGUGUCCAGAGAUGCACUUGGAGGUGCUGAAUGUGAGCUUCAAGCCAGCUCUGCUCAUUAUUACAGAUCUCAAGAUAUUACAGAGGGAGGAGCCAACUCUGCAUCUUCAAGUGUAAAAGGAAAACCUUAAUAAGGACUGCUGAACCUGACUAGCUGCCUCAUAGGAAAUUGCAAGGUAAACUCUAUUUAUUUUUCUGUCACUGCCGUUAAAAUAAGUCCAGCACAAGGAAACACUUACCAAGUUAUCCAAAAUAAUGAAUAAUGUAUUUUUCAUGUUACUGUCUUCAUGAAAAAUCCCUGUGAUUUUAGUCUUAACAACGUGUGCAGGUGUACUUGACAAACUCAUUCUGACAACUAGAGGCACAUCUGCAUGCUGUCUUUUAAUAAUGGUAUAAAUAAUUUCCCAAACUGUAAACUACUCCCAGAUAAUACAUUUCUGUACAAUCUCAUAAAUACACAAGUAUCACACAUGUUAGCAGACAGAAGCAGGAGUGACUGUUCUACCAGUGAGGCUUUGGCUUAGUUCCACAACCUGCAAAGCUCCUUGUGAGGCUCACGUGAACAUUUGAUAUUUCAGGAUUGCAUCCUGAAAACAUCUCAAAUUUAGAAAUCUUUCCAUUUCUAUAUAACUGAUCUUUUCUUGGAAAUACAUUACUGUGAGGCUUGAACUCAUGAUGAAAAUUACCAAGGUGUAAAGCUCUUGUUCAUAGUCUGCCACAGACACUCCCAGCCUGCUGCUCUCUCUGUGCAUUGUUAGUACCAGUACUGAGCCCAAGCUGCUGUGGGGUGGGGUGGGAGGGAGCUUACCCACGGAUAUGAAAUGCAGCUGUGCUGCAGGCUCUGUGCAAGGGAAAGGAACUUUGGGCUUUUAUGACUGAUUGUAGUUUCCUUUGAAGCUGUGUGGAUGUGCCAUCCCAAGGGGUUUUCUGAUGGACAGGAGUUUUGUUGAGGGGGUAAAAACUUGUAAAAGAAUUAACAAACACAGUACCAGAGGUGAAUUAAGGCUCUUUGUCCCAUGAAUUUCACAGCUUUGUAACCCUGAUUUAGAGGAAUUCACUUCUGCUUUGAUGUCUGAUAAAAGUAUAUUCUUCUAAGGUAGUCUGCUGCUGGGAAAACAAAAUGCAUCAAAGUCUGGACUAUACUUUGAAAAACUGAGCAAUUCAGUGUUCUUGUCUGAUGCUUAAAAUACUUACAAAGUUCCUGACUGAACCUUGGAAAACCCAACAGAAAGAUUGCUGGGUGGUUUUGAUUUCUUGUAAUAAAUUUAGGUGGACUUUUAUUCUGAAGUCCUUUUGUCUGAACACUCUCCCUUCACAUGACACCCACAGCAGUAUGAACGUCCUGGCUGCCCUCUGCAGCUGACUGUGCUAAGCAAGAGACCAAGGUCUGUAGAAACCAGCCCAGUCCACUCUUUGGUUUGAAGCAGCUUCCAGAUGUGAUGCAAGCAGCAGCUCUGUGUGGGGUUAU